UUUUUAUUAUGUAUUUAUAUAAAAACUAGCUGACUUGGCAAAUGUUGUCUUGCCGCUAAACACUAUUUAAAAAUAAGGGUUUGUGGUAGAGGGGUGAAAAU